CCUACGGGUGGCAGCAGUGGGGAAUAUUGGACAAUGGGGGGAACCCUGAUCCAGCGACGCCGCGUGAGUGAAGAAGUCUUUCUGUAUGUAAAGCUCUAUCAGCGGGGAAGAAAAUGACGGUACCUGACUACGAAGCCCCGGCUCCCUACGUGCCAGCAGCCGCGGUCAUACGUAGGGGGCAAGCGUUAUCCGGAUUUAAUGGGUGGAAAGGGGGCGUUGACGGUGAUGCAAGUCUGAUGUGAAAGGUCGGGGCCCAACCCCGGGACUGCAUUGGAAACUGUUGAACUGGAGUAGAGGAGAGGUAAGCGGAAUUCCUGGUGUAGCGGUGAAAUGCGUAGAUAUUAGGAGGAACACCGAUGGCGAAGGCGGCUUACUGGAGUGUAACUGACGUUGAGGCUCGAAAGCGUGGGGAGCGAACAGGAUUAGAUACCCCUGUAGUC
rnacentral:rRNA from 1 species